CUGAGGGAAUAGCUCAGUCAGUAGAGCAUGAGACUCUUAAUUUCAGGGUUGCGGGGUCAAGUCCCACAUUAGCUGAAAGA